AUGAACGCUGGCGGCGUGCCUAAUACAUGCAAGUCGCGCGAACAGACGAGGAGCUUGCUCCUCUGACGUUAGCGGCGGACGGGUGAGUAACACGUGGAUAACCUACCUAUAAGACUGGGAUAACUUCGGGAAACCGGAGCUAAUACCGGAUAAUAUAUUGAACCGCAUGGUUCAAUAGUGAAAGACGGUUUUGCUGUCACUUAUAGAUGGAUCCGCGCCGCAUUAGCUAGUUGGUAAGGUAACGGCUUACCAAGGCAACGAUGCGUAGCCGACCUGAGAGGGUGAUCGGCCACACUGGAACUGAGACACGGUCCAGACUCCUACGGGAGGCAGCAGUAGGGAAUCUUCCGCAAUGGGCGAAAGCCUGACGGAGCAACGCCGCGUGAGUGAUGAAGGUCUUCGGAUCGUAAAACUCUGUUAUUAGGGAAGAACAAAUGUGUAAGUAACUAUGCACGUCUUGACGGCACCUAAUCAGAAAGCCACGGCUAACUACGUG
rnacentral:rRNA from 1 species